AUGCGCGUCCCGUCCUCUCUGCUUAACGACUACGGGGAACUCGGAGCGUUCCGGCGGCUGCUGCUUCUGGCUUUAUUGGCGCAUUUGAGAAACAGAGAGAGGACAGUGGUCAUCAGAGUCCCCGCAGACUUCCUACACUCCCUCAUAAGGUGCCCGCAACUUACUGGACCUGUUCAACAAGGCGGCUGGGCUGACGCAGAGAGGCAGAUCUUCGUGAAGACCCUCACAGGCAAGACAAUCACCCUUGAAGUUGAGCCCAGUGACACCAUCGAGAAUGUCAAAGCUAAAAUCCAAGACAAGGAGGGCAUCCCACCUGACCAGCAGCGUCUGAUAUUUGCAGGCAAACAGCUGGAGGAUGGUCGCACUCUUUCAGAAUACAACAUCCACAAAGAGUCCACCCUGCACCUGGUGCUGUGCCUGAGAGGUGGCAUCAUUGAACCUUCCCUCCGCCAGUUCGCCCAGAAGUACAAGUGUGAUAAGAUGAUCUGCCACAAGUGCUACACACGCCUGCACCCCCAUUAAGUCAACUGCCACAAGAAGAAGUAUGGGCACACCAACAACCUGUGCCCCAAGAAGAAAGUCAAAUAAGGCCCUCGCCAGCUCCUCCUGCAAGGCAGCCUCCUGCCCUGGCCCGUGGCUCUGGGGCCUCAAUAAAGUUUCCCUUUCGUUGAAAAAAAAAAAAA